UACGGAGGGGGCUAGCGUUAUUCGGAAUUACUGGGCGUAAAGCGCACGUAGGCGGAUCAGAAAGUCAGAGGUGAAAUCCCAGGGCUCAACCUUGGAACUGCCUUUGAAACUCCUGGUCUUGAGGUCGAGAGAGGUGAGUGGAAUUCCGAGUGCAGAGGUGAAAUUCGUAGAUAUUCGGAGGAACACCAGUGGCGAAGGCGGCUCACUGGCUCGAUACUGACGCUGAGGUGCGAAAGCGUGGGGAGCAAACAGG
rnacentral:rRNA from 1 species